UACAGAGGUGGCAAGCGUUGUUCGGAAUUACUGGGCGUAAAGGGCGAGUAGGCGGCCUUCUAAGUCAGACGUGAAAUCCUCCGGCUUAACCUGGGAACUGCGUCUGAUACUGGGAGGCUUGAGUAUGGGAGAGGGAUGUAGAAUUCCAGGUGUAGCGGUGAAAUGCGUAGAUAUCUGGAGGAAUACCGGUGGCGAAGGCGGCAUCCUGGACCAUUACUGACGCUGAAUCGCGAAAGCUAGGGGAGCAAACGGG
rnacentral:rRNA from 1 species